ensembl:lncRNA
AUGAACUUUUUAAUAAUCCGAGGAGGGAGGAAAGCCCUUGGUCCCCUCGGCUCGGGGGGCUCCCGGCCAGGCCCAGCUCCGCGGGAGCGCCCGUCACCCUCUCCCAGACCAGCUCUGGGCAGCGCCGGGGGGCGCAGGCACAGGCUAGGGGCCUCCUCCUGCCUUUCCGUCCGGCUGUCCGUUGAUCUGUCCGAGGCCCUGGCGGCAGUUUAUGAUUCUUCAUCAACGCGUAAAAUGCAAUCGUCGGAGCCUCGAGACUGUUUUGCGUCCCUGGAACCUAGCAGGAGCUUAUCAAAGACACCGCCGCCCCGGGGACAGUCCCUGGUGUCAGGCAAGACUGCCCCGCCAGCUCGAACCCCGGGACCCAGCUCAGGAGGCAGCCAGCCGCUUGCCAGACCCGGGGCCGUGAACGCCGGAGCCGAGCGGAAGAUUUCCGUGGGUCUGCGAUCCGUGCCUCGGUUCGCAGGGAGGUGGCUACUCUGGGCUCUCGGGAAAGCAGAUUAUCGGAGCCCUUUCAGAGCGCGCACAACAAAUGCGCCCGCCAUCGAAUGCAUCAUUUACCACCGCAGAUCCGCGCGCUGA